rnacentral:rRNA from 1 species
GCCGCCCGAGUUCCCUGGAACGGGACGCCACAGAGGGUGAGAGCCCCGUCUGGCUGGCCGCCGAACCUCUGUAAAGCUCCUUCGACGAGUCGAGUAGUUUGGGAAUGCUGCUCAAAAUGGGAGGUAUAUGUCUUCUAAAGCUAAAUAUUGGCCAGAGACCGAUAGCGCACAAGUAGAGUGAUCGAAAGAUGAAAAGCACCUUGAAAAGAGGGUUAAAUAGUACGUGAAAUUGUUGAAAGGGAAGCGCUUGUGACCAGACUUGGGCGCGGCGGAUCAUCCGGGGUUCUCUCCGGUGCACUUCGCCGCGUCUAGGCCAGCAUCAGUUCGUCGCGGGGGAAAAAGGCUUCGGGAACGUGGCUCCUCCGGGAGUGUUAUAGCCCGUUGCAUAAUACCCUGCGGUGGACUGAGGACCGCGCAUCUGCNAGGAUGCUGGCGUAAUGGUCACCANCGACCCGUCUUGA